AGGAUCCCUAUUUUCCAGGCUUUUUGAGUGUGAAUCGUGAAACCUUGGAAUCGUGAGCUGACUGGAAAAUUGAGGGAGUGAGGAAUUGAGCUGUUAGAGGAAUUUCAGGACCUUCAGAAUUGACUUAAGUUAUGCAUGAGCUUCUGGAUGUACAAAGAAAAGCCAAGCUUGUUACUUGACAUGGUAACCCAAGGAUGCUGCCAAUUAGUAAUUGGUACCAAGUGAUUCAUGAUUCAAGACUUGUAUCUAAAUUUGCAGCACUGUGAAGUUUGAACUUAUGUUCCCAAUGAGUCUUGAAUUGAAUGGAUAACUAACUUUCUUGUAGUUUAAGAAAAAAAUUUGUCAUUUAAAUCAGUUUGUAUCCAUUCGGAACCUUGCAAACUAGAGACCUUGUAUCACUUUGAUGGUUGAAUCAUGUAUCAUCUUCUUUGCAUCAUCUUUGUAGAACAAAUUGGAAAUUUAAGCAUUGUAUUCAUUUUUGGUUGUCCCCUGUAUGUAACCUUCAAAAGCUUGGCAUGAAACUUUUGUUGAAAUGAUAAACAUGCUUGUGGUUGUAUUUGAA